rnacentral:rRNA from 1 species
GCCAGACUCCUACGGGAGGCAGCAGUGGGGAAUAUUGCACAAUGGGGGAAACCCUGAUGCAGCGACGCCGCGUGAGUGAAGAAGUGUUUCGGUAUGUAAAGCUCUCUCAGCAGGGAAGAAAAUGACGGUACCUGAUUAAGAAGCCCCGGCUAACUACGUGCCAGCAGCCGCGGUAAUACGUAGGGGGCAAGCGUUAUCCGGAUUUACUGGGUGUAAAGGGAGCGUAGACGGUGAUGCAAGUCAGAAGUGAAAGCCCGGGGCUCAACUCCGGGACUGCUUUUGAAACUGUGUGACUGGAGUGCAGGAGAGGUAAGCGGAAUUCCUGGUGUAGCGGUGAAAUGCGUAGAUAUCAGGAGGAACACCAGUGGCGAAGGCGGCUUACUGGACUGUAACUGACGUUGAGGCUCGAAAGCGUGGGGAGCAAACAGGAUUAGAUACCCUCGUA